rnacentral:lncRNA from 1 species
AAGACCAUGAAGUAGCGAGCGCACGAAUUCAUGAAUCGAGAUAAAAAAAAUUCCCAAAGUAGUCGUGCUGUCACAGCAGUGUAUGUAUUCAUUGUAGAAUGGUGUUGGUGAUCGAAGGUGGAAAAGGAAAAAAACUAGGUUCGAUGGAGUAGAUUAAUAAUUGAACAAAAACCUCUGGCUAGCCUCCACAACAGAAAAAUUGUUGAG